ensembl:lncRNA
GUCAGUAAGCCAUCUGAGGGGGAAAGUGCGUCCAGGACCAGGCUCCGGAUCUGUCUUCUGCCUCCCCGGUCACUGCCUCCCCGGUCACUGCCUCCCCACCGGCUCUGGGGUCUCUUCUCCGAAAUGCGGCUUAGCGCGCCCAGUUGGGAUUCUGGGACACAAUUAUAUCGGAUUGUGCCCAGCUUUCUGUCCACUGGGUCGGUGGUAGAUGUUGUGGACAGCUACUCUAGCUGUAGAGAUUUCAGAUGGAAGAUGAUGACUGUCUCCAUCUGAUACACUAUGAUAAAUAUGGCAGCUCUAUAUAGCUAUAUAGCUCAAGCUGACUCGGUCUGUGACAGAGGAGACUCAACGAGUGGACUGCCAAACAUGGGUUGAUGACCCUCAGUCUCUAGUACAGAAUAAGUUGGUAUCUGAAUUAAAGAUGGCCAGUUCCAGGAUCACAGCCUAUGUCUCUUCAUGGACCUAUUAUUGACUCCAAAGUUCCUGCAGCCUUAUUGUUGAAUUGCACAGCUUCAGUUAAAGGAAGAAAUAAGAGGAGUACCCCCCAUUCCAUAGGCAUAAGCCAUUCUGUUGGAAUAAUAGACCCAUUUCUGUCCACAGAAGAGUCAGUGGGGGCAGUCCAAAAGCUGCUAGAGUUUUUCUGAUCCUCCACGACCCGGAUGUACUGGCUUUUGACAAUGGAUGCCCUUUUUCAUUAACAUUUCAGCUGUGGUACCAGAAAGGGAAGAUUUGGUGCUCACUUGUCACAUCCUUGGCAAGUCCAGGGAGCGGGACCAAUUGUUAGAGAGAAAAGCUGGAUUCUGGCUAUCGUGGACAGCAGGACCCCGGGCGACCCCUGCAGCUGUCAUUCAGUUCUCUGACCUUUUUGAGGUUCCUGGAGCACUGCCUCCAGAAUGCCUGGUGGCAGCCUUGGGAGCUCCCAGGAAGGGAGGUGAGACCGGCAUGGGAGCAAAGGCUGAGGGGGCUCCUCACCGCGGCGGUGGCCUCUUUCCGCUCCUCUCCUUCCUUUUGAAUAUUCUGGUUUCAUUUUCCACCAAGGGUUGGUACAUUCUAGUGUUGUGGAUCCGGAUGAUGUCAUAGUACUGUUCUCUUGUGUCAUCAGCAUCGAAGCUCGUGCCUUGCAGUCUGCCCUCGAUGUUAUUGUACCUCGUUGUCCAGGAGAUGUUCUCACAGUUCUUGGCUCUGCUUCACUUGAUGCCGGACAAGAGCAAGAUCUUGGUCACCUGGACCAGAAAUAUUGACCUGCUCAGGGAGGACACAGAGGCCAGCAGCCAAUCCGCGGACCUGUGGUAUCCGAACGUUAGCCCCACGCGGGGAGAUGAAAAAGGAGCAAAGGUCGGAGCCGCAGAUGACCGGGAGCCCGGCCGCGUGGGUGCACCUCCCGGGGAGGCCGAAGCGAGGCUUGGCUUCACAGAGCAUGACUUUCUUAGGCCUGUCUUCUAGGAUUUCACCUGAAAAACGAUGGACUUCUCGGUGGUUAUCUGGGACAAGCUGUCCUAAGUUGGAGGGUGCUGAACUCCCGGCCGGCUGCAGUUGGGACGGCAGCGAUCUGUUCUGGGAGCCCGGAGCUUCGCCUCGGUUGUUUGUGACGGCCUUGGCCGCCGCCUCCGGAAGCAUCACGUUGUUCCUCGGGGCCUGCUUUUUUGUGGGGACCCCGCGGCCCCGACUCUGCGGUCGGCCCGUCUCAGGAUAGGACCCCAUCUCCAGGCGUUCGUUGCAGUUUGGGAAGAAGCCCUCCUGAAGGGGGUGAAGGCGCCAGGGAGACCUUUCUCUGGGAAUAGGUGAAGAGAGCACGAAUGGCCAUCUCCAGAGGCUCAUAGAACAGAGAGCUCUUCAUGGCCUCGUGGCGUCCUGCAACUCAGCAAGGAGCUUCCCCUCCUGGUCCCAGCUGAAGAGCAUGAUAUUACAGAGGAGCGAGCUCAGGCGCUCCAGCAGAGCGCGGCCGCAGCCGCCUGGAGGGCCCCGAAGAGAGCCAGCCAGACGUGAUUGGUGCCGAGCAGAUUCGAGGCUGGGGGAGGCAGGAGUCCUUCCUGCUGAGGGGCUGCGCCUUGGGCUUCGGCUCAAACGUCUGCCUCGGCGACUCCUCUGAGAGCCAGGUCUGGCCCAGGAAGAGCCAGAUGUGCGGGUUGGAGAGUUUUCGACCUUGACCCUGCUCAGGCACCAGCUGGGCCGGCCGCCUUGGGUGCUGUCCCACAGCUGGAUGGCCCGGAUGGCCCCCCACGCCAUUUAUAAUGGUCAGGAGCAAGGUGUCGGUGCUGCCCCCGGAGAAGGGGGUGAAGUCGGCGUGACUCGGGAAGUGCUCCUCGCUAGCCUUGCGGGUUCUGUUCCCAGAAGCUGGAGAAAGACGUCGGCCCGGGUGCCGAGCCCAGGUAGCUAGCUCCCUGUGUAGAUGACCAGGUAGCAAAUGUAUUCUGUUUUGUUUUUUUAAGCAAGUUGUAAUCAAUAGAGAUAGGCCGUUUCAUAAAUAGUCUUUUUCUAUUCUAAUACAUACAUGGAAAUAACCAUUUUAUUUGGUGUUUCUUAUGUUCAGAGUAAACAUGAGUUUUAAGAAAUUUGCUGACAAUAUGAUAGUUUACUUUGAAAAUCUUACAGAAUCAGCAAAAAUGGUGAUUGCAACAACCGCUUUAGCAAAGUUGCAGGCUACAAAAUCCUCAGAAAUCAACAUUUCUAUAUAGCGAAAUAUAAGCGCUAAUAGUAAGUAGCGAAAUUCCAUUCCAAAUGCCUAUAAAAUGCAUAAAAUAGCUGGAGACCCAGUCUCCAAAAGCAAGCCAAAGAUUUCUAUGGAUUCAAUUACAAAGAAAUAAAGAAUUUGAAUAAUUGGAGAAAUAUUCAGUGUUCACGACUAGGCCAAAAAAUAAAUAAAUAAAAUAAAAAAUGAAAAUACCAAAAUUUAUACCUUUAGCAUUAUUAAAUGACCAAGGGGAUAAUUUAUAGAACUUGAUAAAAUUCAUUUAGAAAAACAAAAGAUUGAGAUUUUCAAAGGAAGUGGUGAAAAGCAAGGAUAAAAAAGGAAUAACAUUUCCAUUUAUUCAAAAUAAAUCAGUCACCAUCAAAAUCACCUGGUAUUCACUACACACCUGUCAGAUUGUCUAGAAUGACAGGGAAAGAUAACACAGAAUGUUGGAGGGGAUGUGGGAAAACGGGGACACUGAUACAUUGUUGGUGGAACUGUGAACACAUUCAGCCAUUCUGGAGAGCAAUUUGGAAUUAUGCUCAAAAAGUUAUCAAACUGUGCAUACCCUUUGAUCCAGCAGUGUUUCUACUGGGCUUAUACAUAACCCAAAGAGAUACUAAAGAAGGGAAAGGGAUUAUUGUUCUGUAAGAAAUGACCAGCAGGAUGAAUACAGAGAGGCUUGGAGAGACUUACAUGAACUGAUGCUGAGUGAAAUGAGCAGAACCAGGAGAUCAUUAUAUACCUCAGCGACGAUACUGUAUGAGGAUGUAUUCUGAUGGAAGUGGAUUUCUUUGACAAAGAGAUCUAGCUCAGUUUCAGUUGAUCAAGGAUGGACAGAAGCAGCUACACCCAAAGAAAGAACACUAGGAAAUGAAUGUAAACUGCUUGCAUUUUUGUUCUUCUUCCCGGGUUAUUUAUAACUUCUAAAUCCAAUUCUCCCUGAGCAACAAGAGAACUGUUCAGUUCUGCACACAUAUAUUGUAUCUAAGAUCUACUGUAACCUAUUUAACAUGUAUAGGACUGCUUGCCAUCUGGGGA